rnacentral:rRNA from 1 species
UUUAAUUGAAGAGUUUGAUCAUGGCUCAGAUUGAACGCUGGCGGCAGGCCUAACACAUGCAAGUCGAGCGGCAGCGGGAAAGUAGCUUGCUA